rnacentral:rRNA from 1 species
UCUUUGGUCAUUUUAGAGGAAGUAAAAGUCGUAACAAGGUUUCCGUAGGUGAACCUGCGGAAGGAUCAUUACCUAGAGUUGUAGGCUUUGCCUGCUAUCUCUUACCCAUGUCUUUUGAGUACCUUCGUUUCCUCGGCGGGUCCGCCCGCCGAUUGGACAACAUUUAAACCCUUUGUAGUUGCAAUCAGCGUCUGAAAAAACUUAAUAGUUACAACUUUCAACAACGGAUCUCUUGGUUCUGGCAUCGAUGAAGAACGCAGCGAAAUGCGAUAAGUAGUGUGAAUUGCAGAAUUCAGUGAAUCAUCGAAUCUUUGAACGCACAUUGCGCCCCUUGGUAUUCCAUGGGGCAUGCCUGUUCGAGCGUCAUUUGUACCUUCAAGCUCUGCUUGGUGUUGGGUGUUUGUCUCGCCUCUGCGUGUAGACUCGCCUCAAAACAAUUGGCAGCCGGCGUAUUGAUUUCGGAGCGCAGUACAUCUCGCGCUUUGCACUCAUAACGACGACGUCCAAAAGUACAUUUUUACACUCUUGACCUCGGAUCAGGUAGGGAUACCCGCUGAACUUAAGCAUAUCAAUAA